rnacentral:rRNA from 1 species
GACGAACGCUGGCGGCGUGCUUAACACAUGCAAGUCGAACGGAAAGGCCCGGCUUUUGUGUGUCUCUCGUUUGCGGAAGGGGGGAGAAAAACGCGUGUAACCCCCCCUUAUCUUUGGGUUAUCUCUAGGAAACUGGGGCUAUACCCGCAAAGGAUCUCUUGCUCCAUGUGGGGGGUUGGAAAGUUUCGGCGGUUGGGGAUGGACUCGCGGCUUACCAGCUGGUUGGUGGGGUAGUGGCUUACCAGGCCUUUGAAGGGUAGCCGGCCUGGGAGCGUGACCGGCCACAAUGGGACUGAGAUACGGCCCAGACUCCUACGGGAGGCAGCAGUGGGGAAUAUUGCACAAUGGGCGGAAGCCUGAUGCAGCAACGCCGCGUGCGGGAUGACGGCCUUCGGGUUGUAAACCGCUUUCGCCUGUGACGAAGCGUGAGUGACGGUAAUGGGUAAAGAAGCAACGGCUAACUACGUG